AAUGAACGCUGGCGGCAUGCCUAACACAUGCAAGUCGAACGAAGGCUUCGGCAUUAGUGGCGCACGGGUGCGUAACGCGAGGGAAUCUGAACUUGGGUUCGGCCUAACAGUUAGAAAUGACUGAUAAUACCGGAUGAUGUCGUAAGACCAAAGAUUUAUCGAACUAGGAUGAGCACGCGUAGGAUUAGCUAGUUGGGGGGGUAAUGGCCUACCAAGGCGACGAUCCUUAGCUGGUCUGAGAGGAUGAUCAGCCACACUGGGACUGAGACACGGCCCAGACUCCUACGGGAGGCAGCAGUGGGUGAUAGUGGACAGUGGGCUAAAGCCUGAUCCAGCACGGCCGCGUGAGUGAUGUUGGCCUUAGGGUUGUAAAGCUCUAUUACCCGGGAUGAUAAUGACGGUACCGGGAGAAUAAGCUCCGGCUAACUUCGUG
rnacentral:rRNA from 1 species